CAUCAUUGCAUAAAGUUGUUGAGCCUGAAGAUAUCAUUCAGAAGACUGGUUUAGCUUAUCCACACACAUCCCAUUGUCUUGCUUCAGGAGAUAUAUUGGUGUCAUGCCUUGGAGAUAAAGAUGGAAAUGCUACAGGGAAUGGCUUUCUUCUCCUAGAUUCCAAAUUUGAUGUGAAAGGAAGGUGGGAGAAACCAGGGCAUAGUCCACUGUUUGGCUACGAUUUCUGGUACCAACCACGACACAAGACAAUGAUAAGCUCAUCAUGGGGUGCCCCUGCUGCUUUCACCAAAGGUUUCAACCUUCAACAUGUUUCUAAUGGUUUAUAUGGGAGGCAUCUGCAUGUGUACAGCUGGCCAGGGGGCGAACUGAGACAAACAUUGGAUCUUGGCAGUACAGGGCUCUUACCUUUGGAGAUAAGGUUCCUGCAUGAUCCUUCAAAAGACACAGGGUUUGUUGGUUGUGCCUUGACAAGUGACAUGGUGCGAAUUUUCAAGACCCAAGAUGGCUC